UACGUAGGUGGCAAGCGUUGUCCGGAUUUACUGGGCGUAAAGAGCGCGCAGGCGGUCGUUCAAGUCGCGUGUGAAAGCCCCCGGCUCAACUGGGGAGGGUCACGCGAUACUGAUCGACUCGAAGGCAGGAGAGGGUAGUGGAAUUCCCGGUGUAGUGGUGAAAUGCGUAGAUAUCGGGAGGAACACCGGUGGCGAAGGCGGGUCUCUGGGCCGAUACUGACGCUGAGGAGCGAAAGCGUGGGGAGCGAACAGG
rnacentral:rRNA from 1 species